CGGACGGGUGAGUAACGCGUGAGAAUCUGGCUUCAGGUCGGGGAUAACUACUGGAAACGGUGGCUAAUACCGGAUGUGCCGAGAGGUGAAAGGCUUGCUGCCUGAAGAUGAGCUCGCGUCUGAUUAGCUAGUAGGUGUGGUAAGAGCGCACCUAGGCGACGAUCAGUAGCUGGUCUGAGAGGAUGAUCAGCCACACUGGGACUGAGACACGGCCCAGACUCCUACGGGAGGCAGCAGUGGGGAAUUUUCCGCAAUGGGCGAAAGCCUGACGGAGCAAUACCGCGUGAGGGAGGAAGGCUCUUGGGUUGUAAACCUCUUUUCUCAAGGAAUAAUUAUGAAGGUACUUGAGGAAUAAGCAUCGGCUAACUCCGUGCCASCAGCCGCGGUAAUACGGAGGAUGCMAGCGUUAUCCGGAAUGAUUGGGCGUAAAGCGUCCGCAGGUGGCGAUGUAAGUCUGCUGUUAAAGAGUGAGGCUCAACCUCAUAAGAGCAGUGGAAACUACAUGGCUAGAGUGCGUUCGGGGUAGAGGGAAUUCCUGGUGUAGCGGUGAAAUGCGUAGAGAUCAGGAAGAACACCGGUGGCGAAGGCGCUCUACUAGGCCGCAACUGACACUGAGGGACGAAAGCUAGGGGAGCGAAUGGGAUUAGAUACCCCAGUAGUCCUAGCCGUAAACGAUGGAUACUAGGCGUUGCGAGUAUCGACCCUCGCAGUGCCGGAGCCAACGCGUUAAGUAUCCCGCCUGGGGAGUACGCACGCAAGUGU
rnacentral:rRNA from 1 species